ensembl:snRNA U6 U6 spliceosomal RNA
GUGCUCACUCUGUCAGCACAUAUACUACAAUUGGACCAGUAGAGAGAAGAUUAGUAUAGCCCCCGAGCAUGGUUGACUCACAACUUUGUGAAGCAUUCCAUAUUUUG